rnacentral:rRNA from 1 species
CCUACGGGUGGCAGCAGUGGGGAAUAUUGCACAAUGGGGGAAACCCUGAUGCAGCGACGCCGCGUGAGUGAAGAAGGACUUCGGUAUGUAAAGCUCUUUCAGCAGGGAAGAAAAUGAUGGUAUUUGUAUCCGCAGCGACGGCUAACUACGGGCCAGCAGCCGCGGUAAUACGCAGGGGGCAAGCGUUAUCCGGAUUUACUGGGGGUAAAGGGAGCGUAGACGGCAGCACAUGUCUGGAGUGAAAUGCCGGGGCUUAACCCCGGUACUGCUUUGGAAACUGUGCGGCUAGAGUGCAGGAGAGGUGAGUGGAAUUCCUGGUGUAGCGGUGAAAUGCGUAGAUAUUAGGAGGAACACCAGUGGCGAAGGCGGCUUACUGGACAGUAACUGACGUUGAGGCGCGAAAGCGUGGGGAGCAAACAGGAUUAGAUACCCGGGUAGUC